rfam:Oryza glaberrima chromosome 1 Oglab01_0294_5, whole genome shotgun sequence.
AAUAAGUGCACUUUUGUAUUGUUUAUGUCCAAUAUUGACCGUUCAACUUAUUUGAAAACUUUUUAUAAUUAGUUAUUUUAUUGUUAGUAGAUGAUAAAACAUGAAUAGUACUUUAUGUGUCACUAUUUUUAAAAAAAUCAUAAAUUUUUCAAAUAAGACGAACGGUCAAACGUUGGACACGAAUACCCAUAACUGCACUUAUU